UGUUUUCCUUGUACUUGGUUUUUUCAUGAUGGUGGCUACUUCGACAAUGGAGAGUCUACUGUGUUCCUGUUUGUGUGUUUUGGUGUUGUUGGGGUGUUUGAUUUCAUCAACGGAAUCAAAGUACAUAAAGUACAACACAAGUUCAAACAUUGUUCCUGGGAAGCUGAAUGUUCACUUGGUUGCUCACACUCAUGAUGAUGUUGGUUGGUUGAAGACCGUUGAUCAGUACUAUGUCGGUUCCAAUAACUCAAUCCAGGGAGCGUGCGUUCAAAAUGUGCUGGAUUCGCUUGUGCCAGCAUUGUUGGCGGACAAGAAUCGCAGGUUUAUAUAUGUUGAACAGGCAUUUUUCCAGCGUUGGUGGAGAGAACAAAGUGAAGCUGUUCAGAACAUAGUCAAACAGCUGGUCAACUCUGGUCAAUUGGAGUUCAUAAAUGGGGGCAUGGUUAUGCAUGAUGAGGCUACUACACAUUACAUUGACAUGAUUGAUCAAACAACACUUGGACACCAUUUCAUCAAAGAAGAAUUUGGUAAAACCCCAAGAAUAGGAUGGCAAAUCGAUCCGUUUGGACAUUCGGCGGUGCAGGCAUACUUGUUGAGUGCACAGGUUGGGUUUGAUUCCCUAUUCUUUGCGCGGAUCGAUUACCAAGACAGAGCUAAGAGGAAAGAUGAAAAAUCUCUUGAAGUUGUGUGGCAGGCCUCUAAGAGCCUUGGUUCAUCUCAACAAAUAUUUUCAGGUGCAUUCCCUAAGAACUAUGAACCUCCUGCUAAUUUCUACUACGAAGUAAAUGAUGAUUCUCCAAUUGUACAGGAUGAUGUCAAUUUGUUUGACUACAAUGUCCCUGAACGUGUAAAUGAGUUCGUCGCAGCAGCGAUAUCUCAGGCGAAUAUUACGCGAACCAAUCAUAUAAUGUGGACAAUGGGGACAGAUUUCAAGUACCAAUAUGCACAUACCUGGUUUCGCCAAUUGGAUAAGUUUAUUCACUAUGUUAAUCAAGAUGGCCGGGUUCAUGCCCUCUACUCAACCCCAUCGAUAUAUACUGAUGCGAAACAUGCUGCUAAUGAGGCCUGGCCAAUCAAGACAGAAGACUACUUUCCGUAUGCUGAUGUGGAAAAUGGCUAUUGGACGGGGUAUUUUACAAGUAGGCCAGCUAUCAAAGGCUAUGUUAGAUUCUCAAGUGGCUACUACUUGGCAGCAAGGCAGUUAGAGUAUUUUAAAGGGAAGAGUGGCUUAGGUCCAAAAACUGAUUCUUUGGCUGAUGCUUUGGCUAUUGCUCAACACCACGACGCAGUAUCCGGUACAGAAAAGCAGCAUGUGGCUAAUGAUUAUGCGAAACGGCUUUCAAUAGGCUAUACAGAGGCUGAGAAGGUUGUUGCAGCAUCACUUUCUUACUUGACAGAUGCACCAAAAACUGGUCGUCAGAUUAAAUUUCAACAGUGUCCACUUCUGAACAUAAGUUAUUGUCCUGCGUCGGAAACUGACUUCUCGAAUGGAAAAGACCUGGUUGUAGUUGUUUACAAUCCACUUGGAUGGAAAAGAGAGGAUGUAAUAAGGAUCCCUGUUGUAAGCGAAUAUGUUGUUGUUCGAGAUUCAAGUGGAAAACAAAUCCAAUCACAGCUGCUACCAAUACUUGAUACUUUUAUUGGUUUGAGAAAGUACUACACUGCAGCAUACCUGGGAGUAUCUUCAACUGUAAAACCUAAAUACUGGCUUGCAUUUUCGGCUACUGUCCCGCCACUCGGUUUUAGCACUUACUAUGUAUCUAAAGCUAAACAAGCAGCUACUAUUUCAGAUACAUAUACACCAUACAAAUCAAGGAAUCAGAAGGAUACAAUUGAAGUUGGUCCAGGAAACUUGAAACUGAUUUAUUCCGAGAAGGAAGCAAAACUCACUGAAUACAUCAACAGCAAAAGCAAGGUCAAAGAAUCCAUAGACCAGGCAUACAAAUAUUAUUCUUCAUAUGGAGAUGAUGGAACACAAACUUCUCAGCCUUCCGGUGCAUAUAUUUUUCGCCCCAAUGGUUCAUCAGUUCCAAUCAAAUCAGACAGAAAGUCUCCUCUCACAGUCUUCCGGGGGCCAAUUGUGCAUGAAGUUCAUCAGAAGAUUAGCUCAUGGAUAUACCAGGUAGUACUUAACUUUACAAAAAUCUCUUUGAUUCAGGUUGGACCUAUACCUACUGAUGAUGGAGUUGGUAAAGAAAUUGCAACAGAGAUUACAACAAGUGUAGCAAGUAGCAAAACCUUUUACACCGAUUCCAAUGGACGCGAUUUCAUCGAAAGGAUUCGAGACUAUAGAAAAGACUGGAAAUUGCAAGUAAAUCAACCUGUUGCUGGAAAUUAUUACCCUAUCAACCUUGGGAUUUACCUGAAAGAUAAAAGUAAAGAGCUCUCUAUAUUGGUAGAUAGGUCUGUGGGGGGAUCCAGCAUCAAAGAUGGGCAAUUAGAACUAAUGGUUCAUAGGAGAUUGCUUGUAGAUGAUUCUAGAGGCGUUGGCGAGCCGCUGAAUGAAACAGUUUGCAUCCAUGAUAAGUGUGCCGGAUUAACUGUACUAGGGAAGUACUAUUUCAAGAUUGAUCCUGUAGGAGACGGUGCGAGAUGGCGUCGAUCAUUUGGUCAGGAGAUAUACUCGCCGUUUCUAUUAGCCUUCACAGAGAGUGAAGGUAACUGGGGAGACUCUCAUGUUACAACUUUCUCAGGAAUAAAUCCAUCAUACAGCUUGCCAGAUAACAUUGCAGUCAUAACCCUUCAGGAUCUAGGUGAUGGAAAAGUUCUCCUAAGGCUUGCACACUUAUAUGAGGUUGGCGAGGACAAGUAUCUCUCAGCUAAGGCAACUGUAGAACUCAAAAAGGUGUUCCACAACAAACAGCCGGUCCCAAACCCGGAAAAAUGAGGAGAGUUGUUCAGUGUGGGACAACCAACAUAAAACAAUGUUGCAUCCUAAUGCAUGACCACGACGCAAUGACGUCUUUGAAGCCAUGUUGGGUUGUGUCAGGUUUGCGACAGCCGAUGUAAAACAAGGUCGCAUCUCAAAACAUGGACAUGACACAAUGACGUCUUUGAUCCAUGUAGCCGAGCCCACUUAGUGGGAAAAAGUCGUCUCGAAAUUGAUUAGGAGCUAGCAUAGUAGUAGACCAAGUCUUGAGCUGUUAUCAAAAUAAGUGAGAUGAGCUUAUCUGCAAACCAAGAAAGAGCAGAAAUGGAGAGGAAGAGAUUGGCAUGGAAAGUCAAAGGAUCAACUCAAGAACCACAUAUUUCAAGGGGAGGACCAGUUGAUCCACAAAAGCUUGUUGUAGAGCUUGCUCCAAUGGAAAUAAGGACCUUUAUUAUAAGUUUCAAGCAUUAAGGUCCUCAAGGACCACUAUUGCAAAAUAAGAGUAGUUAAGUGUGCUUAUUCAAAUAGUGAGAACAAAAAGAACAUUUAUCUUGCAAUUAAAAAAAAAUAAGUAAUGCAUUCAAAUAUGUCCAUUGUGUGAGGACAUAUCAUUGUUCCUCAGUAUCAUGUAGGCUAGCAACCUAAAAUGAAGGGGUUGUUUGUUUGGCUAAGGUUGUAUGAACUUUAGUUUCUUACCAAUAAAGCUUAUAUUGUACUUGA